rnacentral:rRNA from 1 species
AGCUCGUAGUUGAAUCUGUGUUUCACACUGUCGGUUCACCGCUCGCGGUGUUUACUGGCAUGAUGUGGGACGUCCUACCGGUGGACUUGGCCCCUCGGGGCGGUCCAAAUAAUAUCCCAUCGCGGUGCUCUUCAUUGAGUGUCGAGAUGGGCCGGUACGUUUACUUUGAACAAAUUAGAGUGCUCAAAGCAGGCUAGCCUCGCCUGAAUACUGUGUGCAUGGAAUAAUGGAAUAGGACCUCGGUUCUAUUUUGUUGGUUUUCGGAACACCGAGGUAAUGAUUAAUAGGGACAGAUGGGGGCAUUCGUAUUGCGA